CCAGAGUAUGUUCGAGACAAAGUUGGGUACCACCAGGUGUGUUAGAGCGUCUCAAAUCUGGGGAGAGGGGAAUCUCGCCGGCAGAAACAACACUACACAUAGAUGACAAUAUGACGUAUGUGUGACGAUUCACAAUCGGUAAAAUAUCAAUCGAAAUUUUUUCAUAGUUGAGCACCACUGCUGUUUUCACCCUGAACGAUUUGAACCUAAUGAAAAAAAUUUAUGGAGAAUAAUAAAAAAGAAGGAUUUGCUGCUCUUGACCUUGUUCACUUGUUCUUCCGAUAAUAGCAGUUGCAUUUAUUGUACAUAUAAUGACAUCUAAAAAUAUGAUUUUUUUUUCAAUGGUACAUAAUAUAUCUACAUACUUGUCUAAGUGCUGUCAUAAAAACUGGAUCAGUCAUCUUCGAGAAACCCGUCAAAACUUUUGCACUCGAUAUAUCAUGUUGCGGUUUUUGCAUCAUGUCGCUGUUUUGCAACGAGAGGUCAUCAACAAGACAACGAAGAUCUUUCUCGCGUAGUUCAUUAGCGUAGAAAAUUAGUAACUUUGGUUCAACGAGCCUUCUAGUUCAGUCAUUCCAGAAGGUGAGAUUGAAAGACAGAAACGCACUCAAGCGAACAUACGCGCGCACAAGGAAUUCCGUCCCUUAUUCCAGACAGAUGAUCACUAUUCAAGGGGUUGGGGACUGGUCCCUUGGCGCAUUCCAAAUGAGUCCGACUCCGCACUUAGGAACUGAUCAAGGCUCUUCUUCGUUGGAUCAACAGCAAAUCUAAUGCUCAGCAAAACUUCUUUUCGAAAGAACUAAUUUUUUUAUCGAUUUUCUCGGUUAAUAAAAUUGGAAAACAUUACGCAAAGGUUUAUGAUUUUCAAUAACAGAGAUAUAUAUAUUUUAUGUUAUGAUAUAUAUUUUAAUGUUUGUGUGACGUUUCU